rnacentral:lncRNA from 1 species
UCUGCUGCUAAGAGCCGAGAGAGGGAGAGAGGAAGAAUAAGAGAGAAACCUCUUCAUUUCUUCUUGGAUUCAUCUAUAAAGCAAGAAUCAAACCAAACCAAACCGAUUAAUCUUCUCCUUGAGUGAUUAGCUAGUGUUUGGUGGUGAAAUUUUGGAAAGAGAAGGCUUGGGCUACCCUUGGAGAACUCAAAUCAAGAGCUGGACUUCAAACCUGGAGUAUAGUUGAACGUGAAUACUUGAAGCACUAUAUUUUGUGUGAGUGAUCCCUCGACUGUCCCAAAGUUACUUUUGAACUAAUUCUUGCAUUUAUUACUCCAUUGCAUAUCAUUUGGGGGUUCGGGUGUGUGCCAUGACAUAAUUUGGCUCCAAUGAGUUCCUGGAAAGUCUUGUGCUUAGAACCAAUGUCUCCACUAUUGUUUACACGUUCUUUGGAGCAUGAUGGCUCCUUAAUUCUGUUUCAUGGUUACAUGAUCUAAACGAGCAUUGGAUAUUUAAGUACAAGAACUUCACUGGCUCACAUGAGCAAUAAAUGAACAUUUGAUUAAUGCAUCAUGACAUCAUAUUAAUGCUUUAUUGUGAAAUAUACUUGGCUGUUGAUUUUACUGGUCACUCGCUGAGCUUCUAGCUCACCCCCUAUUAUCUUCUUCCCCCCACAGGGAUUGAGGUAAAGGAAGACCUUGUAUUUGGAUCUUUGUGUGGCUGGAUGGCGUACAUCUUGUAUAGUUUAGUUUUGGUUUUGAUUUAUGUACUUUUGGGCUUGUAUAAAUAUUUGGAAUUGAAUCGGAUGUAAAUCUACAUUUUUCGCUUAGAACUAGUUUCCGCUUCGAUUAUGAUAUGUAAAUUUUGGAGAAUAUGAUGUAAAAGUUGAGUUUUAUCUUGUAAUUCAUUCGAGGACUGUAGGGAAUGACUGAGUCCUGGCGAGAGCUGGGCAGGCGGCCCGUUGACCCCUCUGGUUCGCCUUAGGGAAAAUGGGGUCGUUACAAUUGGUAUCAGAGCUUAGGUUCCAGAUCUCUGUAGCGUAUCCUAGAGUUAAAGUUUAGGAUGUUUGGCUGUGAGAGUAAUUUGAAUAUUAUGUGAACGAGGAGCUAUUGUAUCCUAGUGGUACAAAGAAAUUGAUUGUUUGAGAAUUCCUUAUUUGGGACUUGUAGAAAAACAAAAAAAAAAAAAAUUGAGGAAUUAGAUGACUAGUGAAAGAUUGGACGAAUUUGAAUUCUAGUAUGUUUGUAAGUGUGGAAGGAAUUGAGGUGAUUCCUAGUACUGGCCAUGGCCAUGGAUAAAAGGUGAGAUGUGAUAGUCAAAUUUUAUGAGUAAUGAUUUUGAACCAAGAUAAAAGUACCAAAGGAAUAAAAUGCAUUUUCGCCCCCUACUUUCUAAAGAAAUUUUGUUUUGGGAUUUUGAAGAAAAGCUAGGAUGUACUAGUUUUAUUUGUAUGCAAUGAUUGGAAAUAAGAUAUAUAUGCUUUAAGUAUGUGUAAUUUGCCGAUUUUAGUAAAAAUGUGAGUUUUACUUGAAGUUCAAAUUUGAAAAGUUGUGAAUACCUGAUGAGCUUGUUGAAUUUUGUAUAUGAUGGGUUAAUACCAGGAUAACAAUUUCUAAACUAAGUUUUCCCCUUGAUUGUAUACCGGCAUAUUCUCACACUUGAAUUGGUCCAUGCUUUAUACGAAGAAAAAUAUAUAUAUAUCCUGAGUUUUCGAGAGAAUGGCAAGCUUAUGUUUACUAAUGUGAAUCCUGAACUUGAUAAGAUUUUGAUUACUUUAAACACUCAUCUUAUGUUUUAAAAUUCUUGACUUUCAAGAAGAGUGAGCCAAUUUUAAAUGUACGGAUUGAGACAACUUUGAGAUAUAGAGUGGCUGUAUUCAAGAGUACGAAGUUAGUGUGAAUUGACUUGGGUUCCAUUUGGCACGUUAGUUAGCAAGUGUAUUCAUUUCUUGGGUUUGAACUUGGAACUUGCGACUGUACUAUAGAACCUAAGAUUGGUUAUUCUUGGAGAUGAUGGCAUUUUGAACUUCGACAUGGAUAACCUUUGACUUCGGCUUGUGUUAUGGAUUUCUUGGAUCUAAUGUCGUGAAGGCAUGUAAUCUGAUUGAAAUGAGCAAUAAUUGGACCAUGUGGAAGACCUAGGAAGGGUGGUCCACAUCGUGAGACUUUUGUAUCUAGCUUACCUAUGCUUUUAUCUUUUAUGGUACCUAAGUGUUUAUAUACAAAUUCCGACAUAUUGGCCUUAUUUUAUGACUUUUAACUCAGGUUAUAACUUUUGAUAUAUGUAAUAAAUCAUGACCUGAUUUUAAAUGUUUUUGCAACUAGUAUACGUGUUAAGUUCUUUCAUGCUUAGUUAAUCCUUUUCCUGCACUUACAGAUUUUUAUUAAGUAUGGUAGCAGGGCUAGGAGUAAAGGGCUGUGACCGAGGGUUUAGCCAACUCCGUAUUCAUGGGAGAAAUUGAUGGACAGAUUCAUACAAUUUAAUAGGUCCCUAGUACUGAAUAUGAAUCGAAAAUAAACCCGAAGAUCAGAUCUACUAGUGUAUAAUGGAUUAAUCUAGUCGGAAACUUGGUGAAAUUUUCUUGUGCGCAACAUAUGUUAGGGUUGGUUCUGUGCCAAUAUUACAACCUUAGGAAGUUUGAACCCCGAAAGUAUUGUACUGGGUUGAUAAGAGAACUCGAACUGCCUGAAACCGAUUAGACUGAGCUUACUUGAGACUUGAACCUGUUUAGGCUAGUGUGCCUUACGUACCUUGAUGGACCUAAUUUGGCUGAAUAUAUGGAAUGUGAACUUGAAUCUUGUGACUGCUUAAGAAUGUGAUUUGCUGGGCAUAAGUUGGACGAGUGAGUUCUUAAUUGUACUGGUGCUCCAUGAACCUAAAGCAUUUGACCCUGCUUUUGAACCUCUUUCUAUUCGUGCUGCAUGAACCUGAAAUAUUCCGUCCUGUUUUGAACCUAUUUGUUUGAACUCUACUGUUACCCUACUCGUGAACUUACUCGUACUCAUAUGGUUGUAGACCGGCUACUACUCUUCUGUAGCGGUUGAACUGAACCUCUCUGGUGGGGCAUUGCCUGUUGUGUUGUCCAGCACCGCCAUUCUUCUGGCGAGGCAUGCCUGUUGUGUUGUCCAUCACCACCAGAGAUGGAAUUAUGAACUGAGGUUCUCUGGCGAAGUUUAGCCGAUGUGCUAACUUGUUGUGUUGUCCAGCACCGCCAGGGACGAAUACAUGAACUGAGGUUCUCUGGCGAAGUUUAGCCGAUGUGCUAACUUGUUGUGUUGUCCAGCACCGCCAGGGACAAAUACUUGAACUGAGGCUUUUGGUGAAGCAUAGCCGUUGUGCUAGCUUGUUGUGUUGUCCAGCACCACCAAGGAUGAAUAUUUGAUCUAAAGUUUCGCUAUAUCCUGCAUUUCUUCCGAAUAUCUGGGACUUUACGUCCAACCUCAAGCUUUUUGCCUGUUUUAUCUAAUCACUUGAUUAACUCCCUAGUGGACCAUGACUAUUGGAUAAGUUGGAUCGGCGUGAUAUUUAGUACUUGAAUUUGAUAAGUGAUUAUUUGAUAAGCCAUGCUUUACUGGAUCAUGAAUUACGAUAAGUGAGAUUAGAGUGAUUCUUAGUAUGUGAUUGAUCUUUUAGAUACUUGAUCUGAUUAGUAUUUGAUUAUGAUAAGCGAGAUUGAAAUGAUUCUUAAUACGUGAUCGACUUUCGAGAACUAUUUUAAUCUGAUUAGUACAAGUUGGAAUGUCGAGGACGACAUUCUUUUAAGGAGGGGAGUUUGUGACGCCCCGAGGCAGAAGAAAAGGGAAAAAUUUCUGGUGAAUAGAGUUUUGUGGGAAAAUCCGGCCAGAAGCCGUGCAAAUUCCUUAUAUUUUUCUUAAAAUUCCCUUUUCUUUGACAAAUACCACUUUAUAAUGGCCAUACUACUCAAUCACCCCACAAUAAGUGCCAAUGAACCUAGAAAAUAGGAUUUUUCACUUCGGUUUUGUGAGGACCCGCAAAUUUCCUACAUUUUUCUUCAAAAAUGCCCUCUAUUUGAAAAUUAUUAUUUAUCAAAGCCCUACUACCCCAUUUGAUUCACUAUAAGAGGAAAUAAAUCUAGAAAAUAGGGUUUUCCGCUUCGGUUUCAAGAUUUGAGCAAAAUUAGGGUUUUGCGAUUUUUCCGCCGGAUAAAUUUCCGGUACUGGCCAAGGAUCAAUUUGAUGAUUAAAAGUGACUUUUAAGUGAGAAAUAAUAUGUGAGUAGUAGCAAUGAUAUAAGGUUAGUGAAUGAGAAGUAAAAACCCUAGUACGUGAGUUUUUAAGAAAAACGGCGCGAACCGGCGGGUCCCGCGCACUACCGUUUGAACGCACCAUUUGACCACCACUUUCUUACCCUACAAGCUCAUUGAUUUUUGAGCAAAAUAUCCUCUCAAUAUCAGCUAAGUCUGACCGAAAAUGUUGACUAAUUAUGCAAGGAAAGAAAGAAAUAAAUUGAGUGGAUGUGGUAGUGCCAAGUGUUGGCAAAUGAAUGACCAAGACCUUACUUAACCAUCUUACCUUCUUAUAUCCCAAAUUAGCUAAGUCUUCCACCUUAUUUCUGCUGCUAAGAGCCGAGAGAGGGAGAGAGGAAGAAUAAGAGAGAAACCUCUUCAUUUCUUCUUGGAUUCAUCUAUAAAGCAAGAAUCAAACCAAACCAAACCGAUUAAUCUUCUCCUUGAGUGAUUAGCUAGUGUUUGGUGGUGAAAUUUUGGAAAGAGAAGGCUUGGGCUACCUUGGAGAACUCAAAUCAAGAGCUGGACUUCAAACCUGGAGUAUAGUUGAACGUGAAUACUUGAAGCACUA